AGUGAACGCUGGCGGUAGGCCUAACACAUGCAAGUCGAACGGCAGCACAGUAAGAGCUUGCUCUUACGGGUGGCGAGUGGCGGACGGGUGAGGAAUACAUCGGAAUCUACUUUUUCGUGGGGGAUAACGUAGGGAAACUUACGCUAAUACCGCAUACGACCUACGGGUGAAAGCAGGGGAUCUUUGGACCUUGCGCGAUUGAAUGAGCCGAUGUCGGAUUAGCUAGUUGGCGGGGUAAAGGCCCACCAAGGCGACGAUCCGUAGCUGGUCUGAGAGGAUGAUCCGCCACACUGGAACUGAGACACGGUCCACACUCCUACGGGAGGCAGCAGUGGGGAAUAUUGGACAAUGGGCGCAAGCCUGAUCCAGCCAUACCGCGUGAGUGAAGAAGGCCUUCGGGUUGUAAAGCCCUUUUGUUGGGAAAGAAAAGCAGCAGGUUAAUACCCCGCUGUUCUGACGGUACCCAAAGAAUAAGCACCGGCUAACUUCGUG
rnacentral:rRNA from 1 species